UGGGGAAUUUUGGACAAUGGGGGAAACCCUGAUCCAGCAAUGCCGCGUGUGUGAAGAAGGCCUUCGGGUUGUAAAGCACUUUUGUCCGGAAAGAAAACUUCUGCCCUAAUACGGUGGGAGGAUGACGGUACCGGAAGAAUAAGCACUGGCUAACUACGUGCCAGCAGCCGCGGUAAUACGUAGGGUGCGAGCGUUAAUCGGAAUUACUGGGCGUAAAGCGUGCGCAGGCGGUUCGUUAAGACAGAUGUGAAAUCCCCGGGCUUAACCUGGGAACUGCAUUUGUGACUGGCGAGCUAGAGUAUGGCAGAGGGGGGUAGAAUUCCACGUGUAGCAGUGAAAUGCGUAGAGAUGUGGAGGAAUACCGAUGGCGAAGGCAGCCCCCUGGGCCAAUACUGACGCUCAUGCACGAAAGCGUGGGGAGCAAACAGGAUUAGAUACCCUGGUAGUCCACGCCCUAAACGAUGUCAACUAGUUGUUGGGGAUUCAUUUCCUUAGUAACGUAGCUAACGCGUGAAGUUGACCGCCUGGGGAGUACGGUCGCAAGA
rnacentral:rRNA from 1 species